rnacentral:lncRNA from 1 species
CGAUGCGAUCAACUGGAAGAAAGGGUAUCAGUGAUGGAAGAUGAAAUGAAUGAAAUGAAGCGAGAAGGGAAGUUUAGAGAAAAAAGAAUAAAAAGAAAUGAGCAAAGCCUCCAAGAAAUAUGGGACUAUGUGAAAAGACCAAAUCUCCGUCUGAUUGGUGUACCUGAAAGUGAUGGGGAGAAUGGAACCAAGUUGGAAAACACUCUGCAGGAUAUUAUCCAGGAGAACUUCCCCAAUCUAGCAAGGCAGGCCAACGUUCAGAUUCAGGAAAUACAGAGAACGCCACAAAGAUACUCCUCGAGAAGAGCAACUCCAAGACACAUAAUUGUCAGAUUCACCAAAGUUGAAAUGAAGGAAAAAAUGUUAAGGGCAGCCAGAGAGAAAGGUCGGGUUACCCUCAAAGGGAAGCCUAUCAGACUAUCAGCGGAUCUCUCAGCAGAAACCCUGCAAGCCAGAAGAGAGUGGGGGCCAAUAUUCAACAUUCUUAAAGAAAAGAAUUUUCAACCCAGAAUUUCAUAUCCAGCCAAACUAAGCUUCAUAAGUGAAGGAGAAAUAAAAUACUUUACAGACAAGCAAAUGCUGAGCGAUUUUGUCACCACCAGGCCUGCCCUAAAAGAGCUCCUGAAGGAAGCGCUAAACAUGGAAAGGAACAACCGGUACCAGCUGCUGCAAAAUCAUGCCAAAAUGUAAAGACCAUCGAGACUAGGAAGAAACUGCAUCAACUAACGAGCAAAAUAACGAGCUAACAUCAUAAUGACAGGAUCAAAUUCACACAUAACAAUAUUAACUUUAAAUGUAAAUGGACUAAAUGCUCCAAUUAAAAGACACAGACUGGCAAAUUGGAUAAAGAGUCAAGGCCCAUCAGUGUGCUGUAUUCAGGAAACCCAUCUCACGUGCAGAGACACACAUAGGCUCAAAAUAAAAGGAUGGAGGAAGAUCUACCAAGCCAUGGAAAACAAAAAAAGGCAGGGGUUGCAAUCCUAGCCUCUGAUAAAACAGACUUUAAACCAACAAAGAUCAAAAGAGACAAAGAAGGCCAUUACAUAAUGGUAAAGGGAUCAAUUAAACAAGAAGAGCUAACUAUCCUAAAUAUAUAUGCACCCAAU